GUCGAACGCGCAGCGAAAGGUGCUUGCACCUUUCAAGCGAGUGGCGAACGGGUGAGUAACACGUGGAUAACCUGCCUCAAGGCUGGGGAUAACAUUUGGAAACAGAUGCUAAUACCGAAUAAAACUUAGUAUCGCAUGAUACAAAGUUGAAAGGCGCUACGGCGUCACCUAGAGAUGGGUCCGCGGUGCAUUAGUUAGUUGGUGGGGUAAAGGCCUACCAAGACAAUGAUGCAUAGCCGAGUUGAGAGACUGAUCGGCCACAUUGGGACUGAGACACGGCCCAAACUCCUACGGGAGGCUGCAGUAGGGAAUCUUCCACAAUGGGCGAAAGCCUGAUGGAGCAACGCCGCGUGUGUGAUGAAGGCUUUAGGGUCGUAAAGCACUGUUGUAUGGGAAGAAAUGCUAGAAUAGGGAAUGAUUCUAGUUCGACGGUACCAUACCAGAAAGGGACGGCUAAAUACGUGCCAGCAGCCGCGGUAAUACGUAUGUCCCGAGCGUUAUCCGGAUUUAUUGGGCGUAAAGCGAGCGCAGACGGUUGAUUAAGUCUGAUGUGAAAGCCCGGAGCUCAACUCCGGAAUGGCAUUGGAAACUGGUUAACUUGAGUGUUGUAGAGGUAAGUGGAACUCCAUGUGUAGCGGUGGAAUGCGUAGAUAUAUGGAAGAACACCAGUGGCGAAGGCGGCUUACUGGACAACAACUGACGUUGA
rnacentral:rRNA from 1 species